rnacentral:rRNA from 1 species
AUUGAACGCUGGCGGCAGGCUUAACACAUGCAAGUCGAGCGAGCGGCGGACGGGUGAGUAAUGUCUGGGAAACUGCCUGAUGGAGGGGGAUAAGUACUGGAAACGGUAGCUAAUACCGCAUAGCAUACGCUGUGCCCAGUUGGGAUUAGCUAGUAGGUGGGGGAAUGGCACACCUAGGCGACGAUCCCUAGCUGGUCUGAGAGGAUGACCAGCCAAACUGGAACUGAGACACGGUCCAGACUCCUACGGGAGGCAGCAGUGGGGAAUAUUGCACAAUGGGCGCAAGCCUGAUGCAGCCAUGCCGCGUGUGUGAAGAAGGCCUUCGGGUUGUAAAGCACUUUCAGCGAGGAGGCGUUACUCGCAGAAUAAGCACCGGCUAACUCCGUGCCAGCCGCCGCGGUAAUUC